rnacentral:tRNA from 1 species
GCGCCCGUAGCUCAGUCGGAUAGAGCACCGGUUUCCUAAACCGGUGGUCGGAGGUUCGAGUCCUCCCGGGCGCG